rnacentral:rRNA from 1 species
GCGGAGGAAAAGAAACUAACCAGGAUUCCCCCAGUAACGGCGAGUGAAGCGGGAAGAGCUCAAAAUGUGAAUCUACAGUGGAAUUGUGGUCUAUAGAUACUUGCAUUAAAAAGGCCGGACCAAGUCCCUUGGAACAGGGCAGCUGAGAGGGUGAGACUCCCGUAUGUCUGGUUUUUGGAGCGAGUGUCAACGAGUCGAGUUGUUUGGGAUUGCAGCUCAAAGCAGGUGGUAAAUUCCAUCGAAAGCUAAAUAAGGGUGGCAGACCGAUAGCGUACAAGUACCGUGAGGGAAAGAUGCAAAGCCGCGCGAAAGCGCUGUUAAAGAGUACCUGAAAUUGCUGAAAAGGAAGCGAAGGAAACCAGUGCCAGCAUGGUCAUACUUCCCUGUCUGCUUGCAGAUGGGGCGCUGUGUCCAGCCUUGUCAUUGUUGAUUGAGUUGUCAGGAAAUGCAAUUAAAGAGUUGAUUUAGUUGGC